AUUGAACGCUGGCGGCAGGCCUAACACAUGCAAGUCGAACGAGCGGCGGAGGGGUGAGUAAUGUCUGGGAGACUGCCUGAUGGAGAGGGAUAACUACUGGAAACGGUAGCUAAUACCGCAUACCCUCCGAUGUGACCAGAUGGGAUUAGUUAGUAGGUGGGGUAACGUCUCACCUAGGCGACGACCCUCCGCUGGUAUGAGAGGUUGACCAGCCACACUGGAAUGGGGCCACGGGCCAGACUCCGACGGGAGGCAGAAGUGGGGAAUAUUGCACAAGGGGCGCAAGCCGUAUGCAGCACGGCGGCGUGUGUGAGGAAGGCUUUGGGGUGGUAAAGCACGUUCAGCGGGGAGGCGUUACCCGCAGAAGAAGCACCGGCUAACUCCGUGCCAGCCGCCGCGGUAAUAC
rnacentral:rRNA from 1 species